rnacentral:rRNA from 1 species
UACGGGGGGAGCAAGCGUUGUUCGGAUUUACUGGGCGUAAAGGGCGCGUAGGCGGUCGUGACAAGUCACUUGUGAAAUCUCCGGGCUUAACUCGGAACGGUCAAGUGAUACUGUCGGACUAGAGUACAGAAGGGGGCAACUGGAAUUCUCGGUGUAGCGGUGAAAUGCGUAGAUAUCGAGAGGAACACCUGCGGCGAAGGCGGGUUGCUGGGCUGAUACUGACGUGAGGCGCGAAAAGCCAGGGGGAGCGAACGGGG